rnacentral:rRNA from 2 species
GUGGACGCCAGUCUGCGUGGAGCCGACCUUGAAAUACCACCCUUUAAUGUUUGAUGUUCUAACGUGGAUCCGUAAUCCGGGUUGCGGACAGUGUCUGGUGGGUAGUUUGACUGGGGCGGUCUCCUCCUAAAGAGUAACGGAGGAGCACGAAGGUUGGCUAAUCCUGGUCGGACAUCAGGAGGUUAGUGCAAUGGCAUAAGCCAGCUUGACUGCGAGCGUGACGGCGCGAGCAGGUGCGAAAGCAGGUCAUAGUGAUCCGGUGGUUCUGAAUGGAAGGGCCAUCGCUCAACGGAUAAAAGGUACUCCGGGGAUAACAGGCUGAUACCGCCCAAGAGUUCAUAUCGACGGCGGUGUUUGGCACCUCGAUGUCGGCUCAUCACAUCCUGGGGCUGAAGUAGGUCCCAAGGGUAUGGCUGUUCGCCAUUUAAAGUGGUACGCGAGCUGGGUUUAGAACGUCGUGAGACAGUUCGGUCCCUAUCUGCCGUGGGCGCUGGAGAACUGAGGGGGGCUGCUCCUAGUACGAGAGGACCGGAGUGGACGCAUCACUGGUGUUCGGGUUGUCAUGCCAAUGGCACUGCCCGGUAGCUAAAUGCGGAAGAGAUAAGUGCUGAAAGCAUCUAAGCACGAAACUUGCCCCGA